rnacentral:rRNA from 1 species
CCUACGGGGCGCAGCAGUGGGGAAUAUUGGACAAUGGGGGGAACCCUGAUCCAGCGACGCCGCGUGAGUGAAGAAGUAUUUCGGUAUGUAAAGCUCUAUCAGCAGGGAAGAAAGGAAUGACGGUACCUGACUAAGAAGCCCCGGCUAACUACGUGCCAGCAGCCGCGGUAAUACGUAGGGGGCAAGCGUUAUCCGGAUUUACUGGGUGUAAAGGGAGCGUAGACGGUUACGCAAGUCUGGAGUGAAAGGCGGGGGCUCAACCCCCGGACUGCUUUGGAAACUGUAUAACUGGAGUGCAGGAGAGGUAAGUGGAAUGCCUGGUGUAGCGGUGAAAUGCGUAGAUAUUAGGAGGAACACCAGUGGCGAAGGCGGCUUACUGGACUGUAACUGACGUUGAGGCUCGAAAGCGUGGGGAGCAAACAGGAGUAGAUACCCGUGUAGUC